CCACUCGCAUAGUCAGUCAAUUGGUCCUUUCAGAAUCCCUUAGUCAGUCAGUCAGUCAUUUAGUCAGUCAGUAGGUCUUUCUAUCAGUCAUUUGGUUAGACAGUCAGUUUAACAGUCGCAUAUUAUUUUCAUUUUCAUUUUCUUCUCUUUUUUCUUCUCUAAUUAUUUUCAUUUAUUGUUGUAUUUGUUCUCUUAUGGUACCCUCGUCUACUCGAGCCUCGAAGCGCGCCAUCAUCACAUCACCACUUCACCAAUAACCAACUCACGCACGAAUCCUUGAAGCUCCAGCCGCACUCGCCGAGGACUCGUGACUCCACACCGAGGCUUCACCCAUCAUUCAAUUGAAUAUCACGAAGCUUCAAAUUUUGCGGACUCGUCUCGCCCGCCGAGGUUAUAAAUAGACAUCCACAAGCUAACCCCGACAGUCUCAUCCGAGGUAGCUCACAUUUCGAGGACGCAAGGACUCUUCAAUUUAUCGAGGAGGAGGAAGAGGAAAAGGAGAAGAGGGUGUCUGUAAGCGAUAAAUAUGAGAGUACCCAAGCGCGGACACUCAUCUGGCAGCGAGAUUAUAGCCUCUAAUGGUACGUGGGAGCUCGGUAACGGCGCGCCUCAGCGGGGAGUAAGGAGCACCCUGGCCUUGUUAAUGAGUGGCGGCGCGGCGCACUCCUGCCUCCUCCUCCUCCGCCGCUGUCUUCACAAUGAUUUCAUAAAGAUUCCCGCCGAGGCGCGCACGUGUGAAGUGUAGAAUGUAUGCACUGCCGCUUCGCUUAUGACGCGGCGACACGACCUCAACACACACACACGCACGAUUUGUGGCCUAGACCUGACCGAGGUCAGACAUGGGUCACGGUGCUCCGUAAGGAACAGCCUGGGGCCAGCCUGUUGGCCUCUCCCCUUCCCCUCCAUCCCCCUCUCCCUUUUCACCAAUAACCCAACACUGUAAGAAACUUUUGUGACAUCAAGCUUAAUCAUGGUGAGAGAAAGUGAGUGCAGUGUGUUUAUGGUGCCGUGAAGACAAUGAAGAGUAGUAAUGGCCAGUGUGACGUUGACGCCGCCUUACCAUCCAGCCGACGCCGGUCCCCAGGUGCCCUCAGGUAUACCAGCCCGACCAUCAUGCUGGUGGGAGAACUCGGUUCAGGUGCAGUGCAGUGUUAAGGCCCGUCAUUCAGGUGGACUCAUAGUUGGGGCAUGGGGCAGGGGCAUGGGGCAGUGCAGAUGUUAGAUGUUCCCACGCCUACCGCUUCUCGGUCCACCUCUUCCUAUCUUGCCUCACCGGCUGAAGGGAUUAGCAGGUCAUCACUAAGCUGAGUGACGGCCGACACCGCUUCUACCUGCACCCCUGCUAUCAACUGCGACCUGACCCUUUUUUGACCUGGGGCUUAAACACCCCUUCCCCCGGAAAACCACACCGCCUCCUACAGCACUAACGCACUGCAUUCCACCACCUCACCUCCCCCCCACCACCCCAGACCCCCUAUACCCCUUUCACAUUGUACUUUUCUUUUCUAUUUUAUUUCAAUAUUGUAUUUUAACAUGUAUGUUUUCAGCUAUACAGCUGCAGGCACUCAAUAAACUGUUUAUUAUUAUUA